rnacentral:rRNA from 1 species
UACAGCGUGGCGGCAGGAGCCGCAAUGAUUGAUGAAGGCCUCCGGGCUGUAAACCUCUUUUAUCAAGGAAGAAGAUCUGACGGUACUUGAUGAAUAAGCCACGGCUAAUUCCGUGCCAGCAGCCGCGGUAAUACGGGAGUGGCAAGCGUUAUCCGGAAUUAUUGGGCGUAAAGCGUCCGCAGGCGGUCUGUCAAGUCUGCUGUUAAAGCGUGGAGCUUAACUCCAUUUCGGCAGUGGAAACUGACAGACUAGAGUGUGGUAGGGGCAGAGGGAAUUCCCGGUGUAGCGGUGAAAUGCGUAGAUAUCGGGAAGAACACCAGUGGCGAAGGCGCUCUGCUGGGCCAUAACUGACGCUCAUGGACGAAAGCCAGGGGAGCGAAAGGGAUUAGAUACCCCUGUAGUCCUGGCCGUAAACGAUGAACACUAGGUGUCGGGGGAAUCGACCCCCUCGGUGUCGUAGCCAACGCGUUAAGUGUUCCGCCUGGGGAGUACGCACGCAAGUGUGAAACUCAAAGGAAUUGACGGAUCCU